rnacentral:rRNA from 1 species
ACUCCUACGGGAGGCAGCAGUGGGAAUAUUGCACAAUGGGGGAAGCCCAUCGAUGCAGCAACGCCGCGUGAGUGAUGACGGUCUUCGGAUUGUAAAGCUCUGUCUUCAGGGACGAUAAUGACGGUACCUGAGGAGGAAGCCACGGCUAACUACGUGCCAGCAGCCGCGGUAAUACGUAGGUGGCAAGCGUUGUCCGGAUUUACUGGGCGUAAAGCGCAUGCAGGUGGUUUGUUAAGUCAGAUGUGAAAGCCCGGGGCUCAACCUCGGAACUGCAUUUGAAACUGGCAGACUAGAGUACUGUAGAGGGGGUGAG